rnacentral:rRNA from 1 species
CAUGCAAGUCGAACGGAAACCUUCGGGUUUUAGUGGCGAACGGGUGAGUAACACGUAAGCAACCUGCCCUUAAGACGAGGAUAACAAUUGGAAACAGUUGCUAAGACUGGAUAGGAAAAGUAAAGGCAUCUUUACUUUUUUAAAAGACCUUCUUUGAAGGUAUGCUUAAGGAGGGGCUUGCGACACAUUAGUUAGUUGGUAGGGUAAAGGCCUACCAAGACUAUGAUGUGUAGCUGGACUGAGAGGUUGAACAGCCACAUUGGGACUGAGACACGGCCCAAACUCCUACGGGAGGCAGCAGUAGGGAAUUUUCGGCAAUGGAGGAAACUCUGACCGAGCAACGCCGCGUGAACGAUGAAGUACCUCGGUAUGUAAAGUUCUUUUAUUAAGGAAGAAAAAAGAGUGGAAAAACUCCCUUGACGGUACUUAAUGAAUAAGCCCCGGCUAAUUAUGUGCCAGCAGCCGCGGUAAUACAUAAGGGGCGAGCGUUAUCCGGAAUUAUUGGGCGUAAAGGGUGCGUAGGCGGUUUAAUAAGUCUAUAGUUUAAUUUCAGUGCUUAACGCUGUUGUGCUAUAGAAACUGUUUUACUAGAGUGAGUUAGAGGCAAGCGGAAUUCCAUGUGUAGCGGUAAAAUGCGUAAAUAUAUGGAGGAACACCAGAGGCGUAGGCGGCUUGCUGGGACUUUACUGACGCUGAGGCACGAAAGCGUGGGGAGCAAACAGGAUUAGAUACCCUGGUAGUCCACGCCGUAAACGAUGAGUACUAAGUGUCGGGUAAAACCGGUACUGAAGUUAACACAUUAAGUACUCCGCCUGAGUAGUACGUACGCAAGUAUGAAACUUAAAGGAAUUGACGGGACUCCGCACAAGCGGUGGAUCAUGUUGUUUAAUUCGAAGAUACACGAAAAACCUUACCAGGUCUUGACAUUUUCUUGCGAAGUUAUAGAAAUAUAAUGGAGGUUAUCAGGAAAACAGGUGGUGCAUGGUUGUCGUCAGCUCGUGUCGUGAGAUGUUAGGUUAAGUCCUAAAACGAGCGCAACCCUUGUCGUUAAUUGCCAGCAUGUAAUGAUGGGGACUUUAACGAGACUGCCAAUGAAAAAUUGGAGGAAGGUGGGGAUUACGUCAAAUCAUCAUGCCCCUUAUGAUCUGGGCUACAAACGUGAUACAAUGGUUGAUACAAAGAGUAGCUGAAACGCGAGUUCUUAGCCAAUCUCACAAAAUCAAUCUCAGUUCGGAUUGAAGUCUGCAACUCGACUUCAUGAAGUUGGAAUCGCUAGUAAUCGCGAAUCAGCAUGUCGCGGUGAAUACGUUCUCGGGGUUUGUACACACCGCCCGUCAAACCACGAAAGUUGGCAAUACCCCAAAGCGGUCACCUAACUUCGCAAGAAGAAGGAUCCGUCUAAGGUAGGGUCGAUGAUUGGGGUUAAG